rnacentral:rRNA from 1 species
CCUACGGGCGGCAGCAGUGGGGAAUAUUGCACAAUGGGGGAAACCCUGAUGCAGCGACGCCGCGUGAGUGAAGAAGUACUUCGUUAUGUAAAGCCCUAUCAGCCGGGAAGCAAAGGACGGUACCUGAGUAGGAAGCCCCGGCUAACUACGUGCCAGCAGCCGCGGUAAUAGGUAGGGGGCAAGCGUUAUCCGGAUUUACUGGGUGUAAAGGGAGCGUAGACGGCAGUGCAAGGCUGGAGGGAAAAGCGUGGGCUCAACCCCCGGACUGCGCUGGAAACUGUACGGCUGGAGUGCAGGAGAGGUAAGUGGAAUUCGUGGUGUAGCGGUGAAAUGCGUAGAUAUUAGGAGGAACACCAGUUGCGAAGGCGGCUUACUGGACUUUAACUGACGUUGAGGCACGAAAGCGUGGGGAGCAAACAGGAUUAGAUACCCUAGUAGUC